ACAGUAUUUGCUGGCGUAUAAGACUACUUUUUUGCCCUGAAAAACAUGCCUCCAAGUGGGGGGGUCGUCUUAUACGCCGGGUGCGCUUCAGUUGGGAUAGACAUAGCUGCCCAUAGUGGCCUUCCGAUGCUUGCCCGUAUAUAACAAACUCUAUAUUUUGAGUGGAAAUGUUGGGGGGUCGUCUUAUAUGCCCAGUCGUCUUAUACACCGGCAAAUACGGUAUAU